UACGUAGGGGGCAAGCGUUGUCCGGAUUUAUUGGGCGUAAAGAGCGUGUAGGCGGUCAGGUAGGUCCGUUGUGAAAACUCGAGGCUCAACCUCGAGACGCCGAUGGAAACCAUCUGACUAGAGUCCGGAAGAGGAGAGUGGAAUUCCUGGUGUAGCGGUGAAAUGCGCAGAUAUCAGGAAGAACACCCGUGGCUAAGGCGGUUAGCUGGGGUCGGACUGACGCUGAGGCGCGACAGCGUGGGGAGCAAACAGG
rnacentral:rRNA from 1 species